rnacentral:tRNA from 1 species
GGGGGUGUAGCUUAGUCCGGUUUAAAGCAGUCGCCUGUCGAGCGAAAGAACGUGUGUACCUUUCGGGAAGGCUUUGCCAACAAAUCCCAUCAUCCCCA